UUAUUGGAGAGUUUGAUCCUGGCUCAGGAUGAACGCUGGCGGCGUGCCUAAUACAUGCAAGUCGAGCGAAUGGA
rnacentral:rRNA from 1 species